GUGAGGAAUAUUGGUCAAUGGGCGAGAGCCUGAACCAGCCAAGUCGCGUGAAGGAAGAAGGAUCUAUGGUUCGUAAACUUCUUUUGCAGGGGAAUAAAGUGCAGGACGUGUCCUGUUUUGUAUGUACCCUGAGAAUAAGGAUCGGCUAACUCCGUGCCAGCAGCCGCGGUAAUACGGAGGAUCCGAGCGUUAUCCGGAUUUAUUGGGUUUAAAGGGUGCGUAGGUGGUUUGAUAAGUCAGCGGUGAAAGUUUGCAGCUUAACUGUAAAAAUGCCGUUGAAACUGUCGGACUUGAGUGUAAAUGAGGUAGGCGGAAUGCGUGGUGUAGCGGUGAAAUGCAUAGAUAUCACGCAGAACUCCGAUUGCGAAGGCAGCUUACUAAGCUACAACUGACACUGAAGCACGAAAGCGUGGGGAUCAAACAGGAUUAGAAACCCGGGUAGUCC
rnacentral:rRNA from 1 species